GCCCAGGUGGCGGAAUAGGUAGACGCGCCGUCUUGAGGGGGCGGUGCCCGAAAGGGCGUGCUGGUUCGACUCCAGUCCUGGGCACCC
rnacentral:tRNA from 1 species